AUUGACCAUCUGACAGGGAUUCUGUUUGUUUCUUUACCAAUCCUCCUUUCUUUCAACUCUCUACUUCCCAGGUCAGGAGGUGAGGCUUGAAGAUUAUAGAGAGAGUUGGUGUUAGAGGGCAUCACUUUGCCUUGGGAAUCCACCAACUUAUCCUAAGCUAGUGCUGUUUAAUUUUCUAUUUCUUCAGAGAAAAAUACUUCUGAACACUUCCAAUUUUCUCUGCUGGUGGAGUUCAGAGAAUAGAAAAAAAUAGUCUGGGCCAGAAUGUUCAGGAAAGACUACAUGGAAGAGACAAGACUUAGAUAUGGCUUUGAGGCUGGAAGAGUUUGGAUUUCAGGCUACAUUAAAUUAAAAAUGUAACAGUCUAAGUGACUUUUAUCUAAAAACCUUGAUUUCUCUGGGAAGAGAAAUUCUAGAGUAGUUAUUCCUUCUGGUGACUCACCAUUUCUAGUCCCCCAGAGCUCAAGUGCUGUUUUUGAGUGGGCUGCCAGAGCUUAGGUUUUGCCUGAGUGGAUGCUUUGUGUUCUGUGAAAGGCUUCACUGUGUGGGGCAGUGUUGGUGAUUCUGUAAGGGCUGGAUGGAGAGCUUGAGCUGACUUCAGGUUUAGGCUACUUCUCAUCCCGUUCCCCUCUGCUCCUUCCAACAUGCUGGCUGUAGUUUUUUUUGGAUAUUCUCAAGGGAAGGGAACGGAACCUGUGGCAUAUGGAAGUUCCCAUGCCAGGGGUCGAAUUGGAGCACCACAGCCACAGCAACACCAGAUCCAAGCCCCGUCUGCAACCUACAAUGCAACACUGGAUCCUUAACCCAUUGAACGAGGCCAGGGAUAAAACCUGCAUCCUCACAGAGACAACAUCGUGUUCUUAACUCACUGAGCCACAAUGGGAACUCCUGUUAGUUAUAGUUUGAAUGAUAUGAUUGUUUUCUGUGGAAUUGCAAAGUUCGUGUUUUUAACAGGGUGGUUAAAAGAAGAGGAGGGAGUUGGCCUGGCAGUGAGAAGGAAAAAGAAAAUAAAGGAGACUAGGGAGGAAGAAGAAAGAAUACAAACUCUUCUGGGAGAAAGUGUAUAUUAUUUUCCUCUUUCCAGGUCUGUCAUGAUCACGAUCUUGGAGAGAAUAUCUUUCUUGAGUAAUGUUUUUUAAAGUACUUCUUGUAGUUCUUAGAAGAAAUAUUUUGUCAAGCAUUUAUUCCCAAUUGAGGACUACAAAUUUAAGUCCACAUCUCAUGCUCACCCCUUGGGUAUGUGUUCACUGAGUAUAAAGGCGGAGGAUUACCUGCGUUAUUUAAAUUAUGGUUUCUCUUUCUCUCUGCAAGUGCAUAUAGUUGAAUUUGCACAAAUAAAUCUGUAUUUGAUGCACUUUAAUCAGUUACAAUGUGGUCAUUGUUUCAAGUUUUGGGAGGUCAUUUACCCCUUUCAGAAUUUGUAAGAAGCUGUGUACCUUUUCCUGAGAAAAAUGUACUUAUGCAUCUACAUAAACAAAAUCUGGUAUAUAAUUUCAGGGCCUCCACAGCCCAUUUAUAGACUGCCAGGCUGAGAGUGGUGUCAUGUCAAAAGAGGAAAAGCUUCCUUCCAUUUGGCUCGGAGAGAACACAGAGAGCAGAUGGAGUGCCCAGCAAUGACAGAUGCUGAAGCAGUGGAGAAAGAGGGGUUAAAGCGCAUUUGAAGACCCAAGAUCCAGUGGAGUGCCAGGGACUAUAAAUGCUGGGAAACCUGAAAUCCAGGGAGUCUGGACAAGCAUGAUCGAGCAGUGACCCAAUUUCUGCAACCAAAACCAAACCAAACCAAGACUGCUCUAGCUCGUCAUUCACUAAGUUCCUUUUUCACAAUCACAGUUAGAUUGCUCUGAAACAUGGGGGAAGGAAAAUCAUGAAGGAAUUUCUCUGGCAUUUGGGAAUGUUGUGAGAGGGAAUGAAUUGUUCGAGCCCCAGUAAAACUGGGUAAAGCCUAAGGUGAACACCCCUGGGAUUCUAUUUCUUUUAAGUUUUUUUGAAGAAUAGUUAAUUUACAAGGUGGUAAUAACAAACUCUUCUGUACAACAAAGUGACCCAAUCGUAUAUACACGCAUAUCCAUUCCCACUCCUCUACCUUUUCUCUUUAGUAACCAUAAGUUUUUCUAAGUCUGAGUCAGUUUCUAUUCUGCAAAUAAGUUCAUUUGUGUCCUUUUUUUUUUUUUUAGAUUCCACAUAUAGGGGAUAACAACUACUUUUUAUUUCUUGCUUUUGUUUUAAAAAUAGAACAUUCCAAAAGGAACUUGCCAGCCAUGUAUAUUUCCUAGAAGAGAGAAACAGGGAAAUAUGUCAGGGCUCAUCUGAACAUUUUUCCAGGAGUGAGAGUAAUAUUCCUGUAGAAAACUGUUUAAGUCUACUGUUCUUUAAUAUUAAAUCAUAUAGUCAACUUGCCACAUUCUAGGUAAGAGUCUGCCAACUCCUGCCUGCAGGCCAAAUCUGGCUUGCAGUUAAGUAACAGUAACACAGGUUGUCACAGCCCACAAAGGCUAACUUACUCUCUGGGCCUUUAUAGAAAAAGUUCCCCAACCCCUGUUCGAGAUCAUCAAGCAAACUUUCUAAUACUUUGACUUUUCAUACAAGGCUAGAAUGUACUGGUUAGGCCAAUACAAAUGUUCCAUCUGCUUGAUAGUUAUAUUUCUUAUUGUAAAAUUCUUAAGUUGAGGAUAAGAACAAGGCCUGAGAUGAAUUCAUCAAUCCCAUGCCUCUCCUUGGUGACCCGUGGAGGAGUUGUUCUCUGGCAUUCUCUGGAUGGCUGCUUUCUGGGAAUUGCUGGCCUUUUCCCUUAGAAGUCUACAGCUACAUUUUUACCUACUGGCUUUAGCAGUUUAGACCAAGCUAAAAAGUAUGAAUUGAUAUAUUUAGCCCGCUUCUUUUUUUUUUUUCUUUUUCUUUUUUUUAAAUAAUCGCUCUCCUUCCUUUUGGGAAUAUUUAAAUAGCCAAUAUCUUUUGCAGUCAUUCAAACCCAUGCUAGACUGGAAUAGCACAAUCCAUCUAGGAUACUCCAAGUACAGCUUGUAAUUACUCUUCAGUUCAUUCAGCCCUGCUUCCUCAAAGUGAAGAUUUGAGAACACAUAUUUCCUUUGAUCACAAUUAACUGAAAUAACUAUGGGGUAUUUACACGGAGCUUCUAAAAUAUUUAUGUACGUAAUACUAAUGGCACCUAGUAAUUUACUUACUGCAUUUUAAAAUUUGAGCAAUGUAUUAUUCAUGGCUGGCCAGAAAUCCAUAAUGUAUGAACCUCCUCUGAUGUACUCUUGCUCUUAUGUGUGUUUGGCUCUCCAGUUUCCUUAGGUUGUUCCUGGGAACUGUUUUUCUCCAUUGCAUGCAUAAACACUGCCUAAUCACAUGACCUUCUGUGGGUGGUACGGCUUUUUCUGAAGAGCUUAGAACAGUUCACAGACAUGAGCCCAUGAGUUCUGCAAAAUUUUGGAGAGUGUGUUGGAGGCAGAUGCUGUGCUUUGGAUUUUACUGCUUGGGAGAUAGAAACAGACCAUUUGAAUGGGAAACAUCAAGUGCAUGGCCUCUCAGCACGGUGGGACAAGGAAUGAAACGCAGAUCCCCAGUAGUGGAUCAAUCAAUAACCAAUCAGUAUUUAUUGAGUACAUGUUCUUGGCUCAGCAUUGGACUAUUUUCUUUCUUUCUUUGUUUUUGUUUUUUUUUUUUUUUUUUUUUUUUUUUUUUUUUGGCUUUUUGCCUUUUCUAGGACCACUCCCAUGGCAUAUGGAGGUUCCCAGGCUAGGGGUCGAAUCGGAGCUGUGGCCGCCGCCUACAACAACUCGGGAUCUGAGCUGCGUCUGCGACCUAUACCAUGGCUCACGGCAAUGCUGGAUCCUUAACCCACUGAGGAAGGCCAGGGAUCGAACCUGCAACCUCAUGGUUCCUAGUUGGAUUCGUUAACCCCUGAGUCAUGAUGGGAACUCUGUCAUUGGACUAGUUUCUGUGCUAGCCCACUUUAUGUCUUGCUUAUGUGAUUUGGGGAUUCUGGUAUCUUGAAAAAAAAUCUUGCUGUGAAUUUUCUUGUGAAUUGGCUAUAAAUUGGGAGAAGUAAGCAGGGAGGAAUUAUGAGAUGAAAAGGUGCCUGGGAGGGAAGUGAAACCUUUUGAAGAAGGCAAGUGUCCUCCCAGUGCGAUGAUGCUUCAGAUUUCUUGCUUUGUUUCUCUGUUUUCAGGGCAAUGAAGAAAAAACAGCAAUGUUCUCAGUUAUAAAAUAAAUUAUGAUGGUUAGCAAAAUUCUGUGUACUUAGGUAUUUCUCAUCCAAUUGAUUCUCUUGCUAACCCUAUCCAUACCCAAAGCAUGAUGACAGCUUGCCACAGUAGUGAUGGGAAGGCUUUUCUGUGCAUUUUAAAUGUAGCUGUGAAAUUUGAGUAGAAAUCCAAGUAUCCUGACUCUCAGUCCAGUUCUCUUUUCACUUCUUCUUUUGAACUUUCGCCCUUGGUAAAGGAAGCAGAGCAAUCAAGUUGGUGACAACUUUCCUUUGUUAAUUGGUUCAUUAGCAAGCUUUGGGAAAUCACCUUUUUAAAAGGAAUAAUGGAUUUCUCUCACUCACAUGUGUGGUCUUUAUUCAGUGGCAUAAACACAGUCUUAGAGACUCUGUUUUGGUACUUUGUGCUUGAGGGAGAGCCAGAAUUUCCUGCUGGAAAAUUC
rnacentral:lncRNA from 1 species